CACUGUGCAAUGAACCGUGAAAAUGAGGUCACGAUCAAAUAAAACCUGUGCGACUGACAUAAAGAUCAUAAAAUAUUUCCAUACACCAAAUAUAGUUGACCUAUGGCAUAUAGUAUUAGAUAAAAAGACCAAAACUCAAAAACUUAACUUUGACCACUGAACCAUGAAAAUGAGGUCAAGGUCACAUGACAUCUGCCCGCUAGCCAUGUACACCUUACAAUAGUUCCAUACAACAAAUAUAGUAGACCUAUUGCAUAUAGUAUGAGAAAAACAGACCAAAACACAAAAAUUUAACUUUGACCACUGAACCAUGAAAAUGAGGUCAAGGUCACAUGUCAUCUGCCCGCUAGACAUGUACACCUUACAAUAGUUCCAUACAACAAAUAUAGUAGACCUAUUGCAUAUAGUAUGAGAAAAACAGACCAAAACACAAAAAUUUAACUUUGACCACUGAACCAUGAAAAUGAGGUCAAGGUCACAUGACAUCUGCCCGCUAGACAUGUACACCUUACAAUCGUUCCAUACAACAAAUAUAGUAGACCUAUUGCAUAAAGUAUGAGAAAAACAGACCAAAACACAAAAAUUUAACUAU
rnacentral:lncRNA from 1 species